GGCUCAGGCGGCCGCACACCUGUGGAAGAGGAAUGAAUAGAGGGGGUGUGUGAACCUUCCCGCUGUAGACUAGCUGGCGCCACCGACCAAACUCAAGACAUGCUUGAUCAACAACCCAAAACAAACCACCAGGUCAGACAACACCCGCAGCCCGAGGCUGGCCAGGCGACCUGCAGGCAGCUGCUGGCCCCCGGGAAGCCCGGACUGGGGAUCCACUCUCAGGCCCUACCCGCACUCCACUUUGUGGGUGUCAGACGGCGGGGGGGGGGGUGUGGGUUGCAGGUUGGCACAUCGGGUUGCAGUUUCCACGCCCACGAGGGUGCCCUCCCUCGGCGGGGAGAAAGGCUGUUAGAGCCGACUGGUCAUAGACGAGGCACGAGGGUGGCGUGGCGGGGACAACGGGGACAGGAGCUGGUGACACGUCUCCAUUUAGAGUAAACCCCCAAUUACUAAAAGCGAAGUACGGUGGCACGGAGAGGGGGUGUCCACCUCAUUGGGGUCUGCCCUCAGAAAUGCUUAGGGGCACAGAAUACUGCGGUGCCUGGCACCGGAAGCCCCUGGGGACGGGCGUCUCCGGUGAUCCGCCGCGGGCAGAAGGGAAACGCGCGCUCACCUGGACAGCGCGGCUCAGCGGCACAGAAUGCUGUCGCCCUGCUUGUUCACCGCGCCGGCCUGGAACAGCAACGAAACACCAAUGCAAAGAUCAUUAAGAGAAAGAGAUACGAAUCUCACCUCUGCCCAGUCUACUCUCUGCAAGGAAGCUCUCUCCCUCCCUGCCCAGCACUGACAUACCUGCACUGCACGAGGCCGGAAGCAGAGUGUCUAUGUAGUUGGAAAGGAUUUGCAACAACUCACCUCAUAUACAACAGCACAUCAUUGGACUCAUCUUCUAAUUAAAACAGGGAAAUAAAUAGCCAGUUUCCCUAUAAACCACGUCACAUGGAGUUCACAAUUUAGGGCAGUGUAUGCAUUCACUCUUUCAUCUCUUCAAAUACCAAAGGUGCUUAAAACUGAGGAGGCUUGAAUCCAUUGUAUUGUCAUUCAUUCAAUAUCUACCAAUUUGUAUUAGGUCCUUCUACUUCUUCUGGAGACUUAAAUCUUUACAGUCAUGAUAUGUAUUGUAUUCUGAUCAGUAAGUUCUAGAGAAUUAUACUCUACAAAUACAGGUUACUCUAAGGGUGUGGUAAGAUCAAUCUCUCUUUCACUAUCUUAAAAACCCCUGGCAAAAGUGAUGGCAUUGAUUUGGCUCUGGUCAUGAUCCCAGAGUCCUGGGAUGGUGACCCACACUGGGCUCCCUGCUGAGCAGGGAGCCUGCUUCUCCCUCUACCUCUGCCUGCUCUUCCCUCUGCUUGUG